AUUGCCCCUUGAGGCGUUGCAAUGCGACUGACCUGUCGUUUUUUUGUGUCAUAAGGUGGCAUAGAAGAAAGGGCUAUGUUUACGCCUCGAACCCUUUUCUUCAGUGGGUUCUCAGUGUCUUUAUAGUCCUACAAG
rnacentral:snoRNA from 1 species